rnacentral:rRNA from 1 species
GAUGAACGCUGGCGGCGUGCCUAAUACAUGCAAGUCGAGCGAACAGACGAGGAGCUUCUCCUCUGACGUUAGCGGCGGACGGGUGAGUAACACGUGGAUAACCUACCUAUAAGACUGGGAUAACUUCGGGAAACCGGAGCUAAUACCGGAUAAUAUAUUGAACCGCAUGGUUCAAUAGUGAAAGACGGUUUUGCUGUCACUUAUAGAUGGAUCCGCGCCGCAUUAGCUAGUUGGUAAGGUAACGGCUUACCAAGGCAACGAUGCGUAGCCGACCUGAGAGGGUGAUCGGCCACACUGGAACUGAGACACGGUCCAGACUCCUACGGGAGGCAGCAGUAGGGAAUCUUCCGCAAUGGGCGAAAGCCUGACGGAGCAGCGCCGCGUGAGUGAUGAAGGUCUUCGGAUCGUAAAACUCUGUUAUUAGGGAAGAACAAAUGUGUAAGUAACUAUGCACGUCUUGACGGUACCUAAUCAGAAAGCCACGGCUAACUACGUG